UACGGAGGAUCCGAGCGUUAUCCGGAUUUAUUGGGUUUAAAGGGUGCGUAGGCGGCCUUGUAAGUCAGGGGUGAAAGACGGUAGCUCAACUAUCGCAGUGCCUUUGAUACUGCAGGGCUUGAGUAUCGGAGAGGUUGGUGGAAUUCUCGGUGUAGAGGUGAAAUUCGUAGAUAUCGAGAGGAACACCGGUGGCGAAGGCGGCCAACUGGACGAAUACUGACGCUGAGACACGAAAGCGUGGGGAGCAAACAGG
rnacentral:rRNA from 1 species